CUGUAUUUUCAACUUACAAAAAACAGUUUUCUGCUUUCACUUAUAUCUUCUUUUUUCUUUUCUAGUUUUUUCCUCAUUUCUAAUUCAUAUAAUGAAUUCUGUCGCUUUAUUUCUUCAGCAUCCUUUUCUUCAUGUUUUCUCCUUCUUUCUUCCUCCUCUUCAUGUUCCUUGAUUCUAAAGCAAAAACAUAACUAAAGUUGAAAGCAAAGCAGAAAAAUAGAUAUUUUAAAGAAAUGAAUUAGAUUCUAACCUGGGGUUAUUUGAAGCUGUGGGGAAACUUGUGAAUUUCUUUGGGCACAAGAAAGAUAUAUAAAGAGCAGUGAUUAAAGCCAAAUUCAAUUUUGGUUAGCCCAGAAUUGCCAGUGUUUUCCUUUCUCCAAAAUUUGUUUCACUCCUAACCAAAAUUAAGUCCUACACUAAAUUCAAAUGUUCCUUUCCUUUAGAAAGAACUAGCUAACUGAAUGACAUAUAGUGGAAUGGGGACAUUAUUUUACAGAAAAGCCCUUAAUCUCUAGUGUUUCUCAAUUUCAGCACUACAGAUCUAGCCUCUUAGGCAAUGGGGUUUCCCUGCCCAACUAACCACUCUGGUUGUCAUUCUUUCUCUAGCCAACAUUCACCUGCUAUUAAUGCCAUCUGAGUGGUAAGCCAUACAGGGCUCAUGUGUGAGUUCCUCAGAGAUCACUGAGCACCCUCCUUACUGAAGGGCUGUGAUCUGGGAGAUUUAGCUCCAGCACUUCCUCUUCCACCCACCUUCCCAGCCCCAUCACCAUCACUACCACGAGCUUCCACCAUCAGUACUUUAUUGCAAACUCUGAGUGCCCUCCUCUGGCGACCAAUCCUAUGCAUGCUGGCAAGGCAGCUCAGUGUGAGAUGCCUACUUGCCUUUGCAUCCUUGUCAGCCAAUCAAGUGUGCAGACUGUUCCGCUGCUAUUCUCAAUCUGCUGUCUCUAUUUUUUUUCUUCCUGAACAGGUAGACACAGGAUAGAUCAACAACACACUUAGAUAAAAAGACUGCGGUAUAAACCUUUCUUUCAUAUGCAUCCAAUCCAAAAGAAUUUUUUCUUGGAGUCCCAUCACUCAGCUUUAGAAGGGAAAAUUUCCUUCCUCUGUGCCAUGGAGGACUACACAGUUAAGUGAGCCAGGAGGUUCACUUUGGUAUUAUUAAGCAGGACAAGAGAUUCCCAGAUGAUUCAUCCAUCUGUACAGAGUAAGCAGCCUUAGAGCCAAAGUCACUUUCUCUAGGAAGAGCUAAGAAAAAAGUCACUAUUGGCUAUAGCUAAACCAGGUUUAUAUGAUUGCCUGAAAAACACUAGAUUUUCAAAAAAUGUUUUUGUUUAGUAGGCAUUCUUAGAAGCAAAGAAGAUUCUUUGAGCUGGUAAGAAACCCACAGAUAAAGAAUGGGAGAACAAAAUUCCAGACAGAGGGAAAAACAUGUGAGAAGACCCUGAAGCAAGCAAAGGUUUGACAGAUGAUCAUAUCCAUGGGAAAGUGAUGCAAACAAUCCUAUGAUGAUUUUUCCUUCUUUUGAGAAGCUGAUGAGAUUAAUAGUAACAGAGUUGUUCUCAAGCAAGGUCUACUGGCCCCUUCCCAGAGAAAGAUUUGCCUAUCAAUAGAAGAGAUCAUACACCAUCACUCCUAUUUAUUCUCUUCACUGGAAAUGAGUUCCUCUGUAUAGCUUCACAAUCAAGGGAAGAAGGAAUUAGAUUCCACCUAAGGAGUAUCAAGGAAUGUGUAGAGGAGUAUCAAAGAAUGUGUGGCCAUAUUUUAAAUCACCACCAGGUAAUACCUGAAUAGCACUUGGUAAUAUAUUUAAGGGCAUGCAAAAGACUCUUGCCUCUUGGCAUCCUCCAAUUUCCAUUUCUUUGUGUUUAAGAGAAUUAAAAUAUGGUCUUUGCUCAAAGCAGAAACUUAUUCCAAAUUUUGGCACACCUUAGACACAUGGCCUAUAAUAAGGCACAUCAUGACCUGGCCCUUGUCUCUCUCUUUCCAAUCUCAUCUUUAACAUUGCCCUCUUAGUCAUCUUGACUACUUGUAAUUACCCAAAUCCACCAUAAUCUAACUCACUUUGGGUCUUCACCCAUGCUAAUUCCUCUCUUUAAAAUACUCCUACAUCCCCACUAUUUGCAUGACUUAUUCCUACUCAGUUUUGAUACUUUGGUGAUGGAACUGAUCUUUUCUAAAAAUUAGCCUUCUCUAGACUAGAUCAGAUGUCCAUUUUAUAUGCUUCCACAUAUCUUGUGCAUCUAUUUGCCAAAAUAUCUACUGUCAAACCCUAAUUAUUUGUUCCAUAUUUAUAGCUUCCUUCCCAGAUUGUGAACUUCUUAAAGAAAAAAGACAAUUGUAUUCAUUUUCAUAUUCUUAUACUAGAUUAGUGGCCAGCAAAUGGAGAUUGUCCAAUAAAUGUUUGUAACAAUGAAUGGAUGAUUGGAUAAAUGAAUUUAUUCACAAAUGAAUAAACAGCCUAUUUAAAAUUGUCCCCUGAAUAGACUCUUAUUUAAAUUUUUUCCUCUUUUUUAGUUUUAUUU